GAACUGAUGGAUCAACGCUUGGCUCCGAGUUGGUUGAAGCCUCUCCUUGAGGAGGCUUUUUUGGUCCGUGUCCAUGGAAACCGGAUUCCUGAAUCCAACAGAAGCUGACGCUUUUUCUUCAUGCCGUGUUCAGCAAAAGUCGGAUCAUUUCUUAGGUUCUGAAGUGGUUUUUAAAGUUUUAUCUUUUUUGUUGACUUAAUCUAUUCUUAAAAAUGAUACUGCCAGUA